UGGCAAUCACUAGAUGGUCCAUCCUUUCU
rnacentral:piRNA from 1 species